rnacentral:misc_RNA from 1 species
GAUGAAGAACGCAGCGAAAUGCGAUACGUAAUGUGAAUUGCAGAAUUCAGUGAAUCAUCGAAUCUUUGAACGCAUAUUGCGCUCUCUGGUAUUCCGGAGAGCAUGCUUGUUUGAGUAUCAGUAAACACCUCAACUUCCAUACCUUUUUUGAAAUGGGAGUUGGACUUGAGUGAUCCCAACGCUUUUCCUCACCGAAAAGUGGCGGGUUACUUGAAAUGCAGGUGCAGCUGGACUUUUCUCUGAGCUAUAAGCAUAUCUAUUUAGUCUGCCUAAAAAACAGAUUAUUACCUUUGCUGCAGCUAACAUAAAGGAGAUUAGUUCUUGUGCUGACUGAUGCAGGAUUCACAAAGACGGCUUCGGCCGACUUUGUAAACUCGAUCUCAAAUCAAGUAAGACUACCCGCUGAACUUAAGCAUAUCAAUAAGCGGAGGA